rnacentral:rRNA from 1 species
AUUGAACGCUGGCGGCAGGCCUAACACAUGCAAGUCGAGCGGAUGAAGGGAGCUUGCUCCUGGAUUCAGCGGCGGACGGGUGAGUAAUGCCUAGGAAUCUGCCUGGUAGUGGGGGAUAACGUCCGGAAACGGGCGCUAAUACCGCAUACGUCCUGAGGGAGAAAGUGGGGGAUCUUCGGACCUCACGCUAUCAGAUGAGCCUAGGUCGGAUUAGCUAGUUGGUGGGGUAAAGGCCUACCAAGGCGACGAUCCGUAACUGGUCUGAGAGGAUGAUCAGUCACACUGGAACUGAGAAACGGUCCAGACUCCUACGGGAGGCAGCAGUGGGGAAUAUUGGACAAUGGGCGAAAGCCUGAUCCAGCCAUGCCGCGUGUGUGAAGAAGGUCUUCGGAUUGUAAAGCACUUUAAGUUGGGAGGAAGGGCAGUAAGUUAAUACCUUGUUGUUUUGACGUUACCAACAGAAUAAGCACCGGCUAACUUCGUG